AUGUUUAAUUGAGCCUAGAAUGGGUAUCCUGUUAUCUUUCAUAAAAAUUUAUUAAACAUAAAUUAACGAACCAACCACAAUGGAUAAAGUAGAAAUUAGACACAGAUCCCGAUACCCGUGACACGGAAUAUGAAUGGCUUCAUUGGCAAAAGACCCUCGAAAUUUUCUGGGAAGCUUUACCCACUGAAGGACUGGAUAAAUUGACAGUCGUCUUGACAUUUCAGCGAUGAUACCACAUUCAACAUUGGCUACUAUUCAUGACAAACCAUAUACUCAUGUUGGAUACGUUCCGUCUACAUUACGAUAAGCCACUGCUUUGGUAGAGGCAUGUUUGUAAUCGGUUUAAUCUUCAAGAUGAGAUCUGGUAGUUACUCCCUCGACAUGUUCGACGGAUACUCAACACUUCGGACUUUCAGUUUCUUGGAUCUUCAAACUAGAGAACUUCGAAAAUGACAUAGAGAGAAUGCUUCAUUCAAAGCCAGGAUUGUAUUGGAAAAUAUCAUGGAAAUAUACUUGCCAAUUAUCAUCGUCGUCAUCCUGGUUGCAAGCUUUGUGGACAUCUUCCUCAACCCUCAGAGUCACUACUCUUGAAACAAAGACUUAUCCGCCAUAGGCCGUGCUUAUUAUUGUAUUAUUGAUAGAAGCUCGCGAGUCUCGUCUGUUUCGGAAUUUUCUACCCGAAAUGGCUCGAUGCGAAUCCUUACGGGAGAAAAAAAGAGCCGAACAGAAUGAUAAUGAUGAAAUCGUAGUUACGGAAUCUGCGACUCGAUUGAAUUUAAAUUCGAUAUUUAUUAUCCACUUAAGUGGCAUAUUUUUUGUUAACUGAAAUUUUUCUGAUCUGUAUUUAUAUCAUCUUGGAUCUGAAACAACUAACCGCUUAUUCUCUCCCCCAUACUAGCAAUUAGACGAGGAACACCACCCCUCCUCUCUUACCCCUUAGAAUCCUCCCACUUAUAUGGCGGCUCCCCGGCUCAUUUAAGGGAGUCCCACUCCCCUCCCCCUAUUUCAAACCGAGGUUUCAAACAAAAUUGAUUUUUACUUUGCGGCAGUUUGUGGGUUUCCAAUCUAUGACAAAAUUCUGUAAAAAUCAAACCGAUCCCAACAGAUUCACUACCUCUGAUUUAUAUACUGUGCUUCUGUACCUUCAAAUUUAUUUUUCCAUCUUUUAUUGUACAAUUUGUUUCGUAUACGCAUUUUUUUGCUCGGUUGAAUUUGUUAUUUAUUCUCCUGUGUCUGUUUUCUAUUGAAGCUUAUUCUUAUUUCACAUUGAAAUUUGUAAUGUAUUGUUUUUGUCUUGUUUUGAUUGUUUUAAAUGAUUUUUUUUCUAUGAUUGGAACAAGAUAUCCAUGCUAGAAGUCGUUAAUAUUUGAAUCUGUUCAUAAUCAUUCAAAACUUGAUAAUCUAGAAUUCUUUGCAAUCAGAAAAUUGUACCUUGGCCUUUGGGUUUGAUUAAAAAUGCUAAAUUUAGCUUGAUUACACAAAAUUUCACUCGCUUGUACAAAAUUUUUUAGUUAUUUUUCAAGCUCGACUUCGACUGUAGAAUUCCGAUUUUUUUAUUGAUUGCCAAAUUAUCCAAAGCUCAUCUAUAAUUGUCGGAUACUAUUACUUUGGACUCCCAAGUGAAAGCUUUCGAUUUUAAUAAUGAAAAUUACAAAUUUAUGUUUAAAAAUCAAAAUCUACUUUAUGAGAAUUCUUUAAAACAAUCUAGAAUCCUUUAGAAAAGAAUACAAGUUCAGUCAAAAAUCUUAAAUUGAUCUCAGUCAAGAUUUGUAAGCCUUUUAUUCUUUUAAUGAAAAUUCUCACUCAAAGAAGUAUUAAUAUACACAAGUAUUUUGUAAAACUUAUGAACGGCUUCCCUCAAAUGUACACAAUUUCUUAUUCCAACUACGGUUAUUUGUUUUAUUGCCUUUUUCUUUUGAAGCUCUUUUUUUCUGUUUUACAUUGAAAUGUAGUGUCUGUUUUAAUUUUAUAUAUUUGUCGUCUGAAUCAGUUUUGUCACAAAUCUCAAUCUAAAGCAGUGGUUCCUAAAUUAUUCAGGCCAUUUCCUAUGUGGUCCUUUUGAAAAGCCCUAUGCAAGAAUGACGACUUGCCAGGUGUCUUUUUAAGAGCAUGGGUCAGACUUGGCAUAAAAUCAGUGCCCUGUCAAAUCUGCACGUUCAGAAACUUCUUUGGGGCAUAGUUUAGACCAAGCUAGAGCCCAAAUUUGGGUUUUGUUUCGCUUAUGUAUCUACUUGUCUAAAACAUUGCUCAGAAAACCAGUUUAGCAAUAAGAUUCAUGGCAUUAUUUGGAGCAAAAGCUUAGCUCAACCGAAAACUUUAUUACCUCCAAAUUCUGAUUUUUUUUUUAUAAUAUCAACUUGUUCACAGCCUUGGUUUGAGCCCAGCAAGAGGCCCAUGCCAAAACCCUAUUAUUUAUGUGUUAUGUUAUUUUGUGUUUUGCUAUCUGCUUGCCCCUCCCCCCCCCCUUUUUUUUUGAAAUGUAAAAAAUUAUCAUGACCAAUUUUUCGUAGCUUGAAACGCUUUUUAAACCCCCAAGACUCAUGUAUUCUGGUCUUCGGUCAAAACCGCUCCCAGUUUCGGUCUAACUUCGGAUACGAAACACCUUGAGGUGGCAAUAAGUUCCCGUCCAAUUAUGGCCUAUCAAGUGAAACCAAUUUAUUUGAAGCGAUGUUGUGUUGAUACUCAAAAAUACACAAUACCUCAACUUCACACAAAGUUCCCUGAAAAGUGCAAAAAUAUAUUAUUUAUUUAUAGAGGAAAUUUAACGAAAUAUUAGAAUUUUUGCUAUUUUGUGUGCCUUGUAUUUUAUUAAAUUUAAAAAAUUAACUUUGUAAUGCUUGUUUGUAAAGGAAUCUGUAAAUAAAUUGAAAAAAA